AGUUGUGUGCUUGCAAGCCGAUAAGCGAACAAGAUUUAGCUUCUUUUAUGGCUGAUUGUGUACUGAAAGAGGAUAAAAUCAAUCAGGUCUUGCCAAUUGGAGGACCUGGGAAGGCAUUGACACCUUUAGAACAAGGGGAAAUGUUGUUUAAACUUGUGGGGAAAGAACCCAAAUUUCUCAAGGUGCCAAUUGAAAUAAUGGAUUUUGCAAUAGGAUUUCUUGACUUCCUUGUAAAAAUAUUUCCUUCGUUGGAAGAUGCGGCCGAGUUUGGGAAGAUUGGUAGGUAUUAUGCUGCUGAGAGCAUGUUGAUUUGGGAUCCUGACACUGGUGAAUAUAAUGCUGAGGCAACACCAAGUUAUGGAAAUGAUACAUUGGAAGAUUUUUUCCAAAGAGUACUGAAAGAAGGAAUGGCUGGUCAGGAGUUGGGAGAGCAAACAAUAUUCUAAAUACUCCAUCAAAGAGGAUACUCUCUGACAAAUCAAUUUUGAGGUAUGCAGUUUGUCCGGCUGUAGCAGAUAUUAAUAAGUUUACAAUUUAUUUAUGUGUAAAUUAUACUCUAAUAUGAAUAUAUGCUACAUUCUGA
rnacentral:misc_RNA from 1 species